GACGAACGCUGGCGGCGUGCUUAACACAUGCAAGUCGAACGGAAAGGCCCUGCUUUUGUGGGGUGCUCGAGUGGCGAACGGGUGAGUAACACGUGAGUAACCUGCCCUUGACUUUGGGAUAACUUCAGGAAACUGGGGCUAAUACCGGAUAGGAGCUCCUGCUGCAUGGUGGGGGUUGGAAAGUUUCGGCGGUUGGGGAUGGACUCGCGGCUUAUCAGCUUGUUGGUGGGGUAGUGGCUUACCAAGGCUUUGACGGGUAGCCGGCCUGAGAGGGUGACCGGCCACAUUGGGAAUGAGAUACGGCCCAGACUCCUACGGGAGGCAGCAGUGGGGAAUAUUGCACAAUGGGCGGAAGCCUGAUGCAGCAACGCCGCGUGCGGGAUGACGGCCUUCGGGUUGUAAACCGCUUUCGCCUGUGACGAAGCGUGAGUGACGGUAAUGGGUAAAGAAGCACCGGCUAACUACGUGC
rnacentral:rRNA from 1 species